rnacentral:pre_miRNA from 1 species
AUAGUACUCCCUCCGUUCCGAAUUACUUGUCGCAUGUAUGUUGUAUCUAGAUGUAUUUUAGUUCUACAUACAUCUAUUUCUACGACGAGUAAUUUGGAACGGAGAGAGUAGAAC